GUCUGGGCAAAAAAACUAGAACCAAAGAACCGAAGCGAACUGGAACCGAAUCGAAAUACCCGAAACAGGACCGAAACCUUCAAGUAUUUGAAUGGUUCAUAUAUUUAUUUAUUCGAAAAAAUCGAACCGAAACCGAACAAGUACUCGAAUAUAUAAAAAUAUUAUAUAUAAUUUAAAAAUCUAUUAAAAUAUCCAAAAAUAUUUGAAGAAACUAAAUUAUUAGAAAGUAUUUAAAUUACCUGGAAGUAUCCGGAUAUUUUUAUCCGAAAUAUCCAAAAUUUUAUCAUAACUAUCCUAUAUUUUACCAAACAUAUGGAUAUUUAACCCGAAUUAUUCGAACUACCCGAAAUAGCCUAAUUAGAACCAUAACCGAAUGAGAACUUUUAUAGGUGUUUUCUGGUUCCUACUUUUACUAUCCGAUCCAAACCCGAAACUACCCGAAACAAACCGAAAAUAAAUCAAGUAGUAAAUGGAUCUUCUAGCCCAUUAUCUGAACUACGUGAUACCCGAACUAACCGAACGGAACUGGUACCAGAAAUCCCAAGCCUAGUAGGAAGUUUAACAAGAAGUUAUCUGAAACCUAGGACUAGCUAGUAGUUGUUUCUGAAUGGUUAUCAAAAUACAAAUAAAAUGAUUUAUUCUUGUUACUCUUAUCUCAGGUACGUACAGAAGAGAACAAAUAAUUAAAUUAAAGAAGCAAAAGAGACAUAAAUUUGCUGCAAAAGAUGACAUAGAAGAUGCACAAAAAUCAGCCAAUUUAUUUAACUGUAUCUUACGCUAACCCUAAGCCACGUGGCGAAAUACCAUUUCUCCUGAUUUGCCCCGAAUGAUAAUCUUUCGGCUCACCGGAGAGAGACACACAGAAAAACUAUAGAAAGAAAGAGAGAGAGUGUGUGAGAGAGCUGUUUAAAUAAAAAGGGAGAGAGAAAGUGAGAGAAAGAUAAUGGAACAAGAUGAGUGGUUGAAUACGCUAAGAUACGACGGCAAGGUGCAAGAUAAAGUUUCCGUCGACAGUCUCAUGCUUCGGUACCGUCCGAUCGCUCCAAAACCGACGACCGAUCAACCAUGCGGUACAGGAGACAACUCAUACGGUAUGAGCAAACGAACCAAACGAAAGUACGUUAGGGUUUCGAAGAAUAAUAAAACCACGUGUCGAGGAAAGAGCAGAUCUGACGUGUCUGAUGGGCGGGAACAAGCUGGAGUCGUGACUCUUCAACUCCUGCCGGAAAAAUCCGAUCUCUCAGGCGGAUUCACGCCGUUAGAUCAGGACAGUCUCGAUCCGUCGGUGAAAACGAUAAACGGAGUAGAAACACGUGAAACUAACACAUGGGCUAUGUUCAACGGCGGCGUGACGGCGGAGGUGGAGACAUGGGUGACAGUGGAGUCUGUCACAGGCGUAUAUGACGGUAGUUCGAGUUCCCCUGCGGUGGGGUGCACGGACAUUGAGAUGGUGGAUAAUCUAGGUAAGGACAUGUGCCCUGCGUUCGUAUCGGAUGCAUCAAACCGUGUGGUUUGGGUUAACGAAGCUUACCGGAGAAAUGUUUCCGGUGAAGAUUGGUCGUCAUCUUUGCCGUUGCCGGAUGUUACGGUGUGGUUGGUGGCGGAGGAUUCCACGGUGGCUAUGUAUUGUAACUACCGAGCUUUCACGUGUAGGGUGAGGAUGCAGUACACUUGGCAGGAGACAAAGUAUACCAAAACGGUGCCGUGUGAUGUAUGGAAAAUGGAGUUUGGUGGCUUUGCAUGGAGGCUAGACACAACAGCUGCUCUGACUCUCUGGCUUUGAUGCUGAUUGCUGCCUGAAAAAUGAUGCUCUUUAAAUAUGUAUUCAUGCAUCCUUCAAAGCCGUGCAUCACACAAAUGCAUGUUGUUUGUAUCUGCAUAUAUAAGCGAAUUUGCUCAGUUUCGUUGAAGCUGUAUUAUCAAAUGGAUGAUGGUGGGCAUCGUGACAAUGGUUGGCAUAAAGCAUCUCAGGGCAAGCAGUGGAUGAUGCAACAACAGCAGCAACAACACCAACCAUCUAUGAAACAAGUGAUGUCGAUCAUAACAGCACAACUGUCGUUAUAUGCAAUUAAUAAGAGUGAACCAACUUUUAGGAGAGUUUAUUCAGAUGAACAUGUUCUCAUCAUCCGUGUUAGAUACAGUAAAAUCCUUGAAUUGAGUUGUUGCUUGUUGGUAACUAAUAUUACUACGUGUUUUUACUUGAGC